CACGCUGUAAACGAUGAGAGCUAGUUGUCGGCACGCAUGCGUGUCGGUGACGCAGCUAACGCAUUAAGCUCUCCGCCUGGGGAGUACGGCCGCAAGGUUAAAACUCAAAGAAAUUGACGGGGGCCCGCACAAGCGGUGGAGCAUGUGGUUUAAUUCGAAGCAACGCGCAGAACCUUACCCACGUUUGACAUGUCUAGUUUGAUCGGCAGAGAUGCCUUUCUUCAGUUCGGCUGGCUAGAACACAGGUGC
rnacentral:rRNA from 1 species